UAAGCAGGUCGUCAUUGUUGUCGUUUUCUGCACCUAUCGCCUCCAUCUCUAAAAACCAAGCCCCGCGUUUCUAUCCAAGUCAGGCUAAUUGAAGAUCCUCGUUUCUCCGCUGGCACAGGACGAGGUCUCGCCUCAGGAUUCAGCCCUGCAGUUGUGUCUGGAAAACCUCAGUAAAGAUCUGUGCGAGUGCAGCAGCUCUCACCAGGUCCUGCUCCAAGGGUUCGUCCUCUCUCGGAGCGGAGCGAUGCCCAGGCACGUCCCAGCUCGGUCGGAAGCAGAGGAGGGCGAAGGCGGCUGGAAGCUCGUGGUUUUCCAGGACAUGUUGAGAAGACUAGGAUGUACGCAGAGUGAAGAAUGAAGACUGCAGGAAAAUGAACAGCUGUGCCACCUCUGGCCAUCCCAGCAAGCUGGACAUCUUCCUGCAAGAAGCAGAAACUGGUCACCAUGGCUCCUUGUCUUCCAUCUGGAAAGGGGACACCUGAAAAGACUUGAGAGAGCUUCCUAGAAUUUACCAGGAUUUCCUGCGAGGUGCUGGACAACUCCACCACCCACCUAUGCCAAUCUUCACCUCUUCACCCAUAAAAUGGGAUGAGGAACAUUUGACCACUUCAUACCCUGCCUCUUUUUAAGUCAUCCUUGUGUAGGAUGUACUUCAGCUUAAGGGUUCAUCCAAGUAUCAAGCUUUAUCCUUUCCCCUUACCAUGCCUGUUUUGGAUACUUAUCCCCAAAGAAUUUUAUCUGGAAUUUAGUGGUCCUUUGCUUUACUUAUUCCCUGGGAAUGUAGAGCAUCCUUAUCUCCUCUGUCCCUCUCCUUUUUUUUUCAUUCCCUCAUUCUCCCAUUCAUUGAUCUUGAGCUCUUACUCUCCAGUCAGAGCACAUGCUUCUCUCAGAACUGUGGUUUCAUGAUAAUUAGUACCAGACCUGAACAAUACCUGUCCAAAAAGGACAAUUGAGAUCAAACAAUCACAUUCCUGCCAAAUUAGCCCAAGCCCAUAGAAAUAGUUUCUGGCAGCCUAAAGCUUUUGCAUGAGCUUCAUAUGAGGGAGAACAGGCAGUACCUGAUGUGGUGUGAAGUUAAAACAGCUGAUAAAAGUUGAUCUGGUCAAUGUCCUUUGAAUGAAUGCAAAAUGGAGAGUUUUUUACCGUCAGAUUGGUUUCAGGGAGCUUGAAAGAGCUUUUGAUCCAGUGGUAGAAUCCCAAACUUUCCUAGCCUUAAAGGUUUGCUGCAGACUUAACCAUGUAAACUCAACAGGUCCUUCCUUCUCUUCUCUCUGCCUCUUUCCACUGGUGGGCUGCACCCUUUCCCACAUCCCUACCUGGCAAUGAUGGUGUGGGGGUGAGAAUGGGUGAUGAAGAAAAACAAUGCAGACCAGAAAGCAAUGGAAAGGCUUUCACUGACAGUGCAACAUCUGAAAUUUUA